GACGAACGCUGGCGGCGUGCUUAACACAUGCAAGUCGAACGGGAAGGCCCUGCUUGUGUGGGGUGCUCGAGUGGCGAACGGGUGAGUAACACGUGAGUAACCUGCCCUUGACUUUGGGAUAACUUCAGGAAACUGGGGCUAAUACCGGAUAGGAGCUCCUGCUGCAUGGUGGGGGUUGGAAAGUUUCGGCGGUUGGGGAUGGACUCGCGGCUUAUCAGCUUGUUGGUGGGGUAGUGGCUUACCAAGGCUUUGACGGGUAGCCGGCCUGAGAGGGUGACCGGCCACAUUGGGACUGAGAUACGGCCCAGACUCCUACGGGAGGCAGCAGUGGGGAAUAUUGCACAAUGGGCGGAAGCCUGAUGCAGCAACGCCGCGUGCGGGAUGACGGCCUUCGGGUUGUAAACCGCUUUCGCCUGUGACGAAGCGUGAGUGACGGUAAUGGGUAAAGAAGCACCGGCUAACUACGUG
rnacentral:rRNA from 1 species